GGAAUUUUCCGCAAUGGGCGAAAGCCUGACGGAGCAACGCCGCGUGAGGGAUGAAGGCCUCUGGGCUGUAAACCUCUUUUAUCAAGGAAGAAGAUCUGACGGUACUUGAUGAAUAAGCCACGGCUAAUUCCGUGCCAGCAGCCGCGGUAAUACGGGAGUGGCAAGCGUUAUCCGGAAUUAUUGGACGUAAAGCGUCCGCAGGCGGUCUGUCAAGUCUGCUGUUAAAGCGUGGAGCUUAACUCCAUUUCGGCAGUGGAAACUGACAGACUAGAGUGUGGUAGGGGCAGAGGGAAUUCCCGGUGUAGCGGUGAAAUGCGUAGAUAUCGGGAAGAACACCAGUGGCGAAGGCGCUCUGCUGGGCCAUAACUGACGCUCAUGGACGAAAGCCAGGGGAGCGAAAGGGAUUAGAUACCCCUGUAGUC
rnacentral:rRNA from 1 species